GACGAACCGAGCGAACGUUAUUCGGAAUCACUGGGCUUAAAGGGCGCGUAGGCGGGCGGCCAAGUCAGGGGUGAAAGCCCCCAGCUCAACUGGGGAAGUGCCUCUGAUACUGGUCAUCUCGAGGGAGAUAGGGGCGUGCGGAACCUCCGGUGGAGCGGUGAAAUGCGUAGAUAUCGGAAGGAACACCGGUGGCGAAAGCGGCGCGCUGGAUCUCUUCUGACGCUGAGGCGCGAAAGCCAGGGGAGCGAACGGG
rnacentral:rRNA from 1 species